AUUGAACGCUGGCGGCAGGCCUAACACAUGCAAGUCGAACGGUAGCACAGAGAGCUUGCUCUCGGGUGACGAGUGGCGGACGGGUGAGUAACGUCUGGGAAACUGCCCGAUGGAGGGGGAUAACUACUGGAAACGGCAGCUAAUACCGCAUAACGUCGCAAGACCAAAGUGGGGGACCUUCGGGCCUCACACCAUCGGAUGUGCCCAGAUGGGGUUAGCUAGUAGGUGGGGUAAUGGCUCACCUAGGCGACGAUCCCUAGCUGGUCUGAGAGGAUGACCAGCCACACUGGAACUGAGACACGGUCCAGACUCCUACGGGAGGCAGCAGUGGGGAAUAUUGCACAAUGGGCGCAAGCCUGAUGCAGCCGUGCCGCGUGUAUGAAGAAGGCCUUCGGGUUGUAAAGUACUUUCAGCGGGGAGGAAGGCGGUGAAGUUAAUAGCUUCACCGAUUGACGUUACCCGCAGAAGAAGCACCGGCUAACUCCGUGCCAGCAGCCGCAGUAA
rnacentral:rRNA from 1 species